UGGGGAAUUUUGGACAAUGGGCGCAAGCCCGAUCCAGCCAUGCCGCGUGUCUGAAGAAGGCCUUCGGGUUGUAAAGGACUUUUGUCAGGGAAGAAAAGGGCGGGGUUAAUACCCCUGUCUGAUGACGGUACCUGAAGAAUAAGCACCGGCUAACUACGUGCCAGCAGCCGCGGUAAUACGUAGGGUGCGAGCGUUAAUCGGAAUUACUGGGCGUAAAGCGGGCGCAGACGGUUACUUAAGCAGGAUGUGAAAUCCCCGGGCUCAACCUGGGAACUGCGUUCUGAACUGGGUGACUAGAGUGUGUCAGAGGGAGGUAGAAUUCCACGUGUAGCAGUGAAAUGCGUAGAGAUGUGGAGGAAUACCGAUGGCGAAGGCAGCCUCCUGGGAUAACACUGACGUUCAUGCCCGAAAGCGUGGGUAGCAAACA
rnacentral:rRNA from 1 species